rnacentral:piRNA from 1 species
UAGAAAGUCCUCAUCUUUUCUCUGCCCACAC